UGAUGGGCACAGCUAUGUCUGCCGUGUGCGCCACCACAGCCUGGGCACCCGCAGCCUUCUCAUCCCAUGGGAAAACCACAGUGCAGCUCCAACCAUAAGUAUCACCAUUGCACUGCUGGUUCUUGUGGCCAUAGCCUUUGCUGGGGGUUUUUGGUGGUGGAAGCGCAGGUGAGCUCUCCCUCCCAUCCUCCUGCUGUAAGAUUUAUGGGCAUAUAGGUCGGUUCAGGGGUUGCAGCAGCUCUGUAGGGGUGAAGUCCCUGACUGUCACCACAGCUCACACAUAGUCUUUGCAGGAAAGGUAACGAGGCUACAUGGGAGACCCAGGAAUUCAUCAUUUGAGGCCUUGCUGCCCACACAGCAACAGCUGCUUGCUCUCCGUUCUUACUUUGUGCCCCACCCCUGACCCAUCAGCACCAACACGAUUUUGUUCUGGAAAACAACUGCAUUAAACAGCUAUGAACUUCUUCUGAUA